rnacentral:misc_RNA from 1 species
CACUAAACAAACAGGAGAGAAAAUAAAGGAAGGAAAAAAAGAAGAAAAGAAAACCCUAGUACAAGAAACCAAAGAGAGAAGGGAAAAGAGAGAUUCUUUGUGGUUUCUUGUCAAAGAAUGGCCAACUUGUUUUCUUCUUUCUUGAUUUGUGGUGCCGCCCUAUUCAUCUUGAUCUUGAUGAGCACAUCGUCCACCGUUCAGGGAAGUGUGGACCACCAGCAACACCUAGGAUGGAUACCCAUCAGAUCAUCCUGCAAAGGGUCCAUAGCAGAGU